CAGCCGCCGCGGUAAUACAGAGGGUGCGAGCGUUAAUCGGAUUUACUGGGCGUAAAGCGUGCGUAGGCGGCUUUUUAAGUCGGAUGUGAAAUCCCCGAGCUUAACUUGGGAAUUGCAUUCGAUACUGGGAAGCUAGAGUAUGGGAGAGGAUGGUAGAAUUCCAGGUGUAGCGGCGAAAUGCGUAGAGAUCUGGAGGAAUACCGAUGGCGAAGGCAGCCAUCUGGCCUAAUACUGACGCUGAGGUACGAAAGCAUGGGGAGCAAACAGGAUUAGAUACCCCAGUAGUCCCUGUCUCUUAUAC
rnacentral:rRNA from 1 species